UCAGGAUAUGAUAAUUGGACCUGUUGAUA
rnacentral:piRNA from 1 species